CGGCCGCGUCGACCAGGCGGUUAUAUAAGUCAGAUGUGAAAUCCCUGGGCUCAACCUAGGAACUGCAUUUGAGACUGUAUGGCUAGAGUGUGUCAGAGGGGGGUAGAAUUCCACGUGUAGCAGUGAAAUGCGUAGAGAUGUGGAGGAAUACCGAUGGCGAAGGCAGCCCCCUGGGAUAACACUGACGCUCAUGCACGAAAGCGUGGGGAGCAAACAGGAUUAGAUACCCUGGUAGUCCACGCCCUAAACGAUGUCUACUAGUUGUCGGGACUUAAUUGUCUUGGUAACGCAGCUAACGCGUGAAGUAGACCGCCUGGGGAGUACGGUCGCAAGAUUAAAACUCAAAGGAAUUGACGGGGAGUCGACGCGGCCG
rnacentral:rRNA from 1 species